UUGGAGGGCAAGUCUGGUGCCAGCAGCCGCGGUAAUUCCAGCUCCAAUAGCGUAUAUUAAAGUUGUUGCAGUUAAAAAGCUCGUAGUUGAAUUUCGGGAUCGACAGGUUGGUCGCGCCUUCGGUGUGUACUGGUCUAGUCGGUUUCUCCCUUCUGACGAACCACGAUGUCAUUAAUUUGGUGUCGUGGGAAAUCAGGACUGUUACUUUGAAAAAAUUAGAGUGUUUAAAGCAGGCAUUAGCUUGAAUACAUUAGCAUGGAAUAAUGAAAUAGGACGUUCGAUCCUAUUUUGUUGGUUUCUAGGAUCGACGUAAUGAUCAAUAGGGAUAGUUGGGGGCAUUAGUAUUCAAUUGUCAGAGGUGAAAUUCUUGGAUUUAUUGAAGACUAACUACUGCGAAAGCAUUUGCCAAGGAUGUUUUCAUUAAUCAAGAACGAAAGUUAGGGGAUCGAAGACGAUCAGAUACCGUCGUAGUCUUAACCAUAAACCAUGCCGACUAGGGAUCGGAUGAUGUUAAUUUUUUAAUGACUCAUUCGGCGCCUUACGGGAAACCAAAGUGUUUGGGUUC
rnacentral:rRNA from 1 species